rnacentral:rRNA from 1 species
AAUUUGCAAUGCGAGAAACCKUGACAAAGGAACUCUGAGUGCCMGUUAAAUCGGGCUGUCCAUCGGUUUAAAUAACCGGUGAAGAAAGGGCCGGGCAAGACCGGUGCCAGCCGCCGCGGUAAUACCGGCGGCUCGAGUGGUGGCCACUAUUACUGGGCUUAAAGCGUUCGUAGCUGGUUUGUUAAGUCUCUGGGGAAAUCUUCCGGCUUAACCGGAAGGCGUCUCAGGGAUACUGGCUGCACUAGGGACCGGGUAGAGGUGAGUGGUACUUCAKGGGUAGGA